AACGAACGCUGGCGGCAGGCCUAACACAUGCAAGUCGAACGCCGUAGCAAUACGGAGUGGCAGACGGGUGAGUAACGCGUGGGAACAUACCCCUCGGUUCGGAAUAACUCAGGGAAACUUGAGCUAAUACCGGAUACGUCCGAGGUUUUGAUCGACCUUGGAGAAAGUAUUUAUCGCCGAAGGAUUGGCCCGCGUCUGAUUAGCUUGUUGGUGAGGUAAUGGCUCACCAAGGCGACGAUCAGUAGCUGGUCUGAGAGGAUGAUCAGCCAC
rnacentral:rRNA from 1 species